rnacentral:rRNA from 1 species
GACGAACGCUGGCGGCGUGCUUAACACAUGCAAGUCGAACGGAAAGGCCCUGCUUUUGUGGGGUGCUCGAGUGGCGAACGGGUGAGUAACACGUGAGUAACCUGCCCUUGACUUUGGGAUAACUUCAGGAAACUGGGGCUAAUACCGGAUAGGAGCUCCUGCUGCAUGGUGGGGGUUGGAAAGUUUCGGCGGUUGGGGAUGGACUCGCGGCUUAUCAGCUUGUUGGUGGGGUAGUGGCUUACCAAGGCUUUGACGGGUAGCCGGCCUGAGAGGGUGACCGGCCACAUUGGGACUGAGGUACGGCCCAGACUCCUACGGGAGGCAGCAGUGGGGAAUAUUGCACAAUGGGCGUAAGCCUGAUGCAGCAACGCCGCGUGCGGGAUGACGGCCUUCGGGUUGUAAACCGCUUUCGCCUGUGACGAAGCGUGAGUGACGGUAAUGGGUAAAGAAGCACCGGCUAACUACGUGCCAGCAGCCGCGGUGAUACGUAGGGUGCGAGCGUUGUCCGGAUUUAUUGGGCGUAAAGGGCUCGUAGGUGGUUGAUCGCGUCGGAAGUGUAAUCUUGGGGCUUAACCCUGAGCGUGCUUUCGAUACGGGUUGACUUGAGGAAGGUAGGGGAGAAUGGAAUUCCUGGUGGAGCGGUGGAAUGCGCAGAUAUCAGGAGGAACACCAGUGGCGAAGGCGGUUCUCUGGGCCUUUCCUGACGCUGAGGAGCGAAAGCGUGGGGAGCGAACAGGCUUAGAUACCCUGGUAGUCCGCGCUGUAAACGGUGGGUACUAGGUGUGGGGUCCAUUCCACGGGUUCCGUGCCGUAGCUAACGCUUUAAGUACCCCGCCUGGGGAGUACGGCCGCAAGGCUAAAACUCAAAGGAAUUGACGGGGCCCCGCACAAGCGGCGGAGCAUGCGGAUUAAUUCGAUGCAACGCGUAGAACCUUACCUGGGUUUGACAUGGAUCGGGAGUGCUCAGAGAUGGGUGUGCCUCUUUUGGGGUCGGUUCACAGGUGGUGCAUGGCUGUCGUCAGCUCGUGUCGUGAGAUGUUGGGUUAAGUCCCGCAACGAGCGCAACCCUUGUUCACUGUUGCCAGCACGUUAUGGUGGGGACUCAGUGGAGACCGCCGGGGUCAACUCGGAGGAAGGUGGGGAUGACGUCAAGUCAUCAUGCCCCUUAUGUCCAGGGCUUCACGCAUGCUACAAUGGCUGGUACAGAGAGUGGCGAGCCUGUGAGGGUGAGCGAAUCUCGGAAAGCCGGUCUCAGUUCGGAUUGGGGUCUGCAACUCGACCUCAUGAAGUCGGAGUCGCUAGUAAUCGCAGAUCAGCAACGCUGCGGUGAAAACGUUCCCGGG